rnacentral:lncRNA from 1 species
UUUUUAGGGCUGCACCCAUGGCAUAUGGAGGUUCCCAGGCUAGGAGUCUAAUCGGAGCUGCUGCUGCCAGCCUACACCAGAGCCACAGCAAUGUGGGAUCCAAGACGCGUCUGCAGCCUAUACCACAGCUCAUGGCAACGCCGGAUCCUUAACCCAUUGAGUGAGGCCAGGGAUCGAACCCACAACCUCAUGGUUCCUAGUCAGAUUCGUUUCUGCUGCACCAUGAUGGGAACUCCAGCAGCAAAUUUAUUUCUGGGAAGCCAUCCUAAGGAAAUAAAAGAUCAGAGAUGGACAACAAAGAUGUUUAAGGAUGGCCAUCACAGCAGUGAUGAAAAAAGCAACAAGCUGAAAAAAGCUAAACCUUCAACACCAAUGCCGUGGUUCCCUAAAUGAUGUCACACCCACAGGACAAAUGAUAACAAAGCCAUUAAAAUAUUUAUGAGAAUUUUUAAAAAGGGUUUGAGAAAACGUUAAACGUUUCCUUUCUUUUUAAAAAAGAAAGAAGGAUAAGCAAUUGAAUAUAGACUGCUCCCCAGAGUAAAGCUGUGAAAAGGAAAAAAUGUGCAAGAAAAGGGCUGGCAGAAAAUCAGUCAAAGAAUUUAGAGGUUGUCCCCAGGAGACAGGAUGCUCUGCUAAUGACUUGUCUUAAAUGAGCAGGUAUGACUUUGAGGGAGGAAAUGAUAGUUCAUCCAUUGACUCCCAGGCCUGCAGGCCCCUCCUGCCCACAAGGGGGCGCCCUGUGCUUUCCCAAGGUGGUGAGAACCUGGCAGACAUGGUUGUCUAUCCCCUGGGGCCUGGGUGCUGGACAGUGGCCAACCUCUGGCUGCUGGUUCUGAUGGACCACAUUCAUGUCUGCAAAGUGCCCUGCCCCAAGCCAUGGAGCAGACUUCCCAUUUCUUGGAUCCUACUUGCUCCCCCAAUUUUGAGGGCAACUGGAAGUAUACACACACCUGUCACAUGACAUAAGAGCCUGGCUGGUUACUCUGCCCAUCAAUUUCCCUGCCCCUGCUUCCUGAAGUCCCACCAGGAGUGAGUCAGCCGUCAGUGAGCUUGUUUUCCUCCUGGCCCCUUUGAGACCCGUCUUUUUUUGCAAGGAGAUGACACUGUCAUUUUUGGUAGUUAAUUUAAAGGAGAGCAUCCCAGGGACCCCCAGCCCAGGAGCGGGUAGUGAGGUGGGGGGCUGAGGACCUGAGGCUAUGCCCUGCACAUCAUGACUCCAGGAUGCAUGGCCUCUGCUCUCUGGUUUGGGUUAUGGGCCCCAGCACGGGAGUUCCCAUCGUGGCUCAGUGGUUAACGAAUCUGACUAGGAACCAUGAGGUUGCGGGUUCGAUCCCUCGCCUUGAUCAGUGGGUUAAGGAUCUGGCAUUGCCAUGAGCUGUGGUGUAGGUCGGAGACGCAGCUCGGAGCUGGCGUUGCUGUGGCUCUGGUGUAGGCCAGCGGCAACAGCUCCGAUUGGACCCCUAGCCUGGGAAAUUCCAUAUGCCACAGGAGCAGCCCUAGAAAAGGCAAAAAGACUAAAAAAAAAAAAAAAGAAAGAAAGAAAGAAAGAAAACACAGGCACGAAGAGGUUACUGAGGCUUACUGCCAGCACAUGGUGGAGUCUGGACUAGAACCCAGGUCGCUGACCCAAUUCCAUUCUUUCCAUCGCCCUGCAACAUGCUAGGAUCACACAAAGAUGAGGAAAACAUCCAGCCAGGAUGAUGAGAAACAGAAAAGAGCUGCUACUGUCACCGGCCCUGGCAUGUCGGGUGGCCCUGGGGGCGUCCCUUCCCCUCUCUGCACCUCAGUUUCCCCAUCUCCAGAACGAGGAAGGCACUGACCACUGGGCAGGGUCACUCUCCUCCCCCAGGCCUAUAGGACAGCCUGGCAGCCCUACUCAUGCUCUCCUCUGCCAGGGAGCGCUAGGCCCGCCCCACAGUGUGUCCAGCUGAGAAGCAACGGCUGGAGCCAGGAGGAGCAGGGGAGGAAAUAACGAACAGAUGGGCUCCUUGCCUGCUCUCUGUCCCACCCUGUCUGUGUGCUGUCUUGUGGCCGGGCGGCUGAGGAGGUCCUGGCCGAGAGUCGAGAGGAAAAGGGCUGUGGGUUUGAGAUGCCCUUUCUGUAGAUGAAGACACGGAGGCGGAAGGGCCCAGGACUCUUUGUGUGGACUUGCUGGCCCUUCCUGGAUAGCAAAGGAGGGUUCUGGGGACCCUUUCUAAAGGAGGCAAUGCCCCUUUCCCAGAGCCAGCUCUUUUGAGACCCCCUUCCUCAGGCCCACAGGCCUUUGCCCUCCCUGCUGUCUGUCCUCAAGCCUGGAAUCACCGGGAGUAAACAGGGGCUGUGGUCAGAGACCCUGGUUCUCCCAGGCCCACCUUGGACCUUCCGCUUCUCCAUCUGCCAAGUGCGGGGGCCGCUGAGGAGGAACUGGGACACUAACAUUUCAUGAGCACCUACUAGGUACCAGCCACUUGCCAACCUGUUGCUCCAAAGCUCCUCCAUUUGAUGGGAGAGCAAACUGAGGCUCAGAGAGGCCCAGCCACCUGUACAGGGCCCCACAGCCAUACAGCCAGGACUUGAACCUGAUCUGCUGGCACCACAGCAACACCUCCCACCUCAUGCACAGCCUUUCCUGAAAUGGUUGGGAGAAAGUACGAGAGCAAGCCUGCUCCUAGGACCACGACCCCACCUCUGACCUCCACUCCCACCCCUGAACCCCUGGCCACCACCACAAUGGUUCAUUCAUUCAACUAACAUUUAUUGAGCGCCCGCUCUGCACCAGGUUCUGUGGAACAUUCCAGGAAUAUGGAAAUAAACAAGACAGAUGUGGAAUACUCUCACAGUCUGGGGCCUUGCAAAGGGGUCAGCCCUGUGUGACCCUUUCACCAAGCAUGGCCCACAGCAGUCACAGACACCCUAGGACAUGCACUUCCUGGCUCCAACUCAAGUCACACUCGCACCUGCAGAAACACUCUUGCACCCACGUCCUCUGGCAGAGUUCACCCGGUCCUCCUAGGAGACAGGCAUGGGGCCAAUGCAGGAUACAAGAAAUGACCUCUAAAAGAUGCCACAGCCCUACAAGAUCAGCACUCUGAACCCUCCUGACAGAUGAGAAAACUGAGGCUGGGGACAGGGGCAGCACGUACCCAAAGUCACAGAAUUAGUAAGCAGUGGGGCCAGGAUCUGAGCUUAAGCCUGCUCAGUGCUGGGACCCACACUGCUUGGCGGCGAUGCUGCUUUAGGGGCCCUCCAAAGACCCCCACUCUCCCACUCUCACGUGGGCACACACGUGGCCCAGGGAGGCAGGCAGGAGAGCUGCCUCAGCCUCUGCAGCCUGGUCCAGGCAGCUGUGGGCUGAGGGCUCCGUGGAGGCCCCAGAGGAAGCAGGCGAUCAGAGGGACAGGUGGGUUGGGCCCUGCGGCCAGCAGGCUGCUGGGAGGGAGGAAGGACGCUGCUAGAGCCCCCCCUGGGUUUCCUCCAGAGCCUCAAGGGCCCCCUUGUCUGAGCACAGGCGUCCUGGCUGCCUCCUCCAGCCCCCUCCCCUUUUCUGGGUUCCUGCCUCAGCCCAGCAGGAGCCCAGAAGGCCCAGCCUCCUCACCACCCCUCCCACCCCGUUCCCAGCCCAAAGCCACCGCAAAAAUGUCAUCCUGAUUCCACAACACUAGGGUUUGUCAAAGUGCAGAGGAACAAUGACGCUUUCACAGUGCCAGGAAAAGGUCUCAGGAAAACCCUGGGGAGGGGGCACGGAGUGGCGGUGUGGAGACAGGGAAAGGGCUGAGAUGGAGGGGAGAAGACAAGGGGAGGCUGAGAGGCAGGGGCCAGAGGGAGAGCUCAGUCAGGAGUCAGGGGCAGGGAGGAGGGGGUGGGCUGAGAGCCAAGAGAGUGAGAAGACAGGGGUGGGGGUGGGGGGAGGGGUGAUGAGUGACAGGCGAAAGGGGAGAGAAGAGGGGGAAACGAACCAAAAGGGAAGGAGAAAACAGACACAGGAGGGAGGUCCGACACAGCCAAGAAGCCCCUCCAGGACCCAGAGGCCCCUGGCACCCCAUACACCUCCCCACCUCUGUGCCCCCAGGCAGAGCCCCCUCCUGGCCACAGGAACUCCUCUCUCCGAAUCCCACCCCCAAGCCAGGCAAUUGGAAGUGCUCUCAGGCAAAACUUUUUGGAAAGCAAAGACUUUUUAAUCACAUGAGCAGCCACUCCCUAAGUUAUCUGUUUCCUGCUUCUGGCUUUCCUCCAUUAGCAAACCGCACGGAUCAGAGCUCAGGGGUGGGAGGGGAAGGGGGGCCAGUCCAAAGGGGGUGGAAAACAUCCGAAUCAGAGCGAUUGCAAAAGCCCUAGGUUUUCCUCCUCUUCUAUGACUGCAGAGGCAGCAGUGGCCAUUCCCGCUGCCGCCGUAGAGGGUGGACGAGGUGGAUGGAAGCUCUGCAACCACCCGGCCGUUGGCUGAAAGCUGGACACUGACCUCUCUGAAAACCAUUUGUUCUCCAGAGCUGGUGCCCAGGUCCCUGUGCAUCCCUGUUUGGGUGGCCCGUUUGCCUGACAAGCCCUUUCUUCUGACUGUGCCCCUCCCCGCCGCCGCAGACACAACCCUGGUCCAGCCAGGCAGAGUUGCCCUCAAGUACUUUAAUGGCCACUUCAGGCUUGAAGGCUCCCGGGACCUGCAGGACGGAGGCAAAACACUGAAGGCUUUCAGGCCCUUCCACAUCUGGCCCAGCUGAGCUUAUCUUCCUAACUGCUACUCCCUCCUACCAAACUUCUACUCCAACAAUGACCACAAAAUCAUUUCCUGCGAAUGACAGGUCCCCCUCUGCCCGUCCCGCCCCCUUGCCUUUGCGCUUGCUGUUCCCUGCACCCCAAACAUUUCUCCACCCAGUGAAUGCCCCCGGUAGCCAAGGCCAAGCUCCAAGGUUAACCCCUCUGGCCGCCCGCAUCCCAGACAGGGUUAACUCCUCGGGGUGCUCACCACACUCUGAGGCUUGAGCACUAGCUGACAGCCAUCCCAUUGCCUCCCCCGGAGAAGGCCCCGGCUCUCCAAACUCCCAGGGGACUUUGUGGUCUGCACCACUCGCUUGGCUGCGGGUCAUGUCCCGCCCUGACCCAGCCUCUGGCAUGCCAGGGAUGAUCCAGCAUGCCAGAGGUUUCAUCCUGAACUUAAAGGACUUCUGAAUACUGCCGUUUCUUCCGUCUUGUUUCCCAGGAGUCUCUGAGUGUGCUGUGGCCAUGCGGGGUCCUCCACGUCUCCCACUUCCCUCAGAACACCCUGAGUGGGGCUCAGGACACAUCAGAAGCUGGAGGGGAUGGCGGUGGAAGCAGUACCAGUGAUGGGUGAGAUGUGUGGGCUGAGGCCAAGGUCAGGCAGGCAGGAGGUGGCAAGGCUGGAGCUGGUCUGCUCCCAGGACGCCCCUUCCGGGCUGCGCAGAGCACUCUGGAGGGUCACCUCAGGUCCUGAUUUCCCCAGAAUGUCUGGUCCCUGGCUCUGCAUCUGAGACCAUUCCUGGUGAGGCCUGGCCAGACGUGACCUGGCUAGAUGUGGCUGUAAGCAACCUAGCUCCACCUGGCUAGAGGGAGGCUCUGCACCAGUCCUGGGGGCAGGGCUGGGGCCAGGAAGGCGGUGGGUAGAGGUGGUGGCCUCAGCCUAAAGCGAUGCUGUGAGUGUGAGGGUCACAGCCCUGGGAGGAGAGGACAGGGGAACUCAGCUCAAAAUAGCGAUGGGGGAAGGGUGCAGAGGGUGGCCAAGGGCCAGAAGAGAAAUCUGAUCUGCUCUGGCUGAUGAAAUGCUGAAGUCAGCAGUUUGGGGCCACUCUGGCAGGAGCCAAGGCUGGGGCUCCCACGGCUGCCUGGUGAGAGGCUGCAGGCCCGACUUGCAGCCUCUGCUCUGUGCUCACAUCAAUCGCUCCUUUCUCUGGCCCUCCAUCUGCUCAUCUGGCCACUGAGGGGUAGUGAGAGAAGCAAGCUGUCCACCUCUGAGAACUUUCAUCAGGUGAGU